AUCAACCCAUGGACCAGAAUCAGAAUGAAAACGGUCCUGUUCCAUCUCUACUAUUUGUUUUCUGGAAGCAAGAAAAAGAAAUCACCUAAUCCCUGGCAAUACAGCACUCCUCCCAGCACCCUUUCUUCAUGCUCCUAUACCCAACUGUCUUCCCCCCGAGAACCCACCACUUUAGAGACCACAGAGCAGACUGCAGUCUUGCUACUCCAUCCACAUGGGGCUUUAGAAUCUUGCCACGCUGGGGCACAGCUUCUGUUUCUGGCAGCAUGCUGUCAAGUUUGGCUGUUGAAGAAUUGAAAGAGUGAGUCCCAUGCUGCCCUGCCUUCUCACAUGUGACAAUCAGGGGGCAGGUGAUGGUGCACCAGAUUAAGUGUGCAAACUAUCAUGCACAAGGAUCCGGGUUCAAGUCCCUGCUCCCCACCUGAAGGUGUGGUGGGACAGGGGCUUCACAGGGGUGAAGCCUGUCUACAGCCACCAAGUUGCAGAAGUUACCAUGACCAUGAUGCCAUCCUGACUUCCCCAGGCAGAGGACCUCACCCAUGUGUACUGGAACCCGCUUCCCC